CUUCUGCCCAGACAAGCCUCGCCUCCCGGCUUCACCGCAGUCCUCUAGGAGGCCUGCGGGGUGAGUCGAACCUUCCGGGGCGCGUUCCGAUCCUUGGAGAAUAAACAUUUCAUGUCAAUCGCUUUAUAAGAGACCUUUCAGCUCAAAAUUAAUUGAGUUCAAUCAUUAACUGCUUCCACAGUAUUUUGUUACAGUAUUUUGAUACCUGGAUUGAGCGAGUUGUCCCAUGAAGAAUGUUGUGGCCUAUAUCCACCGGUGUUAAGAAAAAAUGAGAGUAAGUCAUAUUGGAAUGCACAAGGAUGAUGUGCACGUAUUUACCUCCCCGCGCCGGCAAUCGAGGAGCUUGGUCGGAGCUGGUCAAAACCUUCUGCGACUUUGAAGCUCCCGACUCUACCUGAGGCUGCGAGCUCCUGAUGUUAAAGUCUGCAGGCCGCACUGGGAGCAUCGAUCCCAGACAAGGAAUCGGCCCCGAUGGUAAGUCCAUGCCCAGUGGUGGGGCUUAAAAUCAGUCCCGAGCAAGGCCUGAUGUUAGGCCCCAGAGCAACCGAAGAUGCGACCCGGAAAACAAUCGCAUCUCCGGCAAGAGCAAGGUGUGGAGAGAUUUGGAAACAAGGAUGUUUAGAGUUCAGCGAUACAACAUGGAAACGGGCCCUUUGGUGCGCCAAGUCCACGUCGACCCUUGAUCACCCAUUCACACUAGUUCUAUGCUAUCCCAUCCUACACACUAGGCGCAAUUUACAGAAGUCUAUCAACCUACAAACCUACAUGUCUUUGGAAUGUGGGAGGGAACCAGAGCACCCGGAGAAAACCCAUGUGGUGGCAGAGAAAAUGUACAAACUCCACACACGCAGCAGCUGUGGGCAGGUUCAAAUUCCGGUCCCUGGCAACACUAACAGAAUGCCACAUUGACCUUUGUUGGCUUGGGAGAAGUUCUACAGGACUUGAUUUGAGUUGAAAUAUGGACAACAGAGUCUUGGCUAAGCUUGAGUUUUUGGAGGGUAACCAAGCACUUGUUUUGGAGUAUCGUUACAGUAACACAAAGCAUUACGUCAGCUCAUCUGUUAAACAUCAGCCUCAAAUUCUGAGUACUGAAGAUGGUUGCACUUAGUGAUUACAAGGACAAAUUUCCCAAGAACACUUUUUCACAAACAGAAGUUGUGAAUAUGCAAAGUAAAUAUCUGAUAUGCAAGCACAAUUGCUAUGGUUAAAAUCUAAAAUUUACCUAGAUGCAGGAAAAACGAUGUUAGAGGAGUCCAGAACCAGGGGUCACAGUUUAAGAAUAAGGGGUUUAAGACUCAUUUAGGACUGAGAUGAGGAAAACCUUUUUCUCCCAGAGAGUUGUGUAUCUGUGGAACUCUCUUGUCACAUAAAGCAGUGGAGGCCACUUCGCUGGAUGUUUUCAAAAGAGAGUUAGAUUUAGCUCUUAGAACUAAAUGAAUCGAGUGUUAUGGGGAAAAAAAGCAGGAACGGGGUACUGAUUUUAGAUGAUCGGCCAUGAUCAUAUUGAAUGGCGGUGCUGGCUCAAAGGGCCAAAUGGCCUACUCCUGCACCUAUUUUUCUGUGUUUCUACCCUCUCCUCCACCCCCAAUCAAACAAAUUUGUAUAUGUCUAUUUAGCUCUUAAAAAGGUACUAUUAAAUUGAUUGUGCCCAGAUAAUGAAUCUGCCUUAUUGCUUUUCAUAAUUGCAAAGAAUUUGUAUGUAGAUUAUUUCCAAGACUCGUAGAAAGUUUACUUAAAAUUCAAAGGAGCCUGUUGUCAGCUUUCUACCUGAUGCUCCCUAUAUAGCAUGAGUAAAAAUCACUUUGAUUUGCAUGGAUAGGUGACAUUUUGGGUUGAGCUGAAGAAAAGUCCUGACCUAAAACUUUUUGUAAACCAGCAUCUGCAAUUCCUUGUUUCAGGCAGCAUCUCUGAAGAGGUAUAUGGACCAAGCGCAGGCAGGUGGGACUAGUGUAGCUGGGACAUGUUGGCCGGUGUGGGCAAGUUGGGCAGAAGGGCCUGUUUCCACACUCUAUCACUAUGACUCUAAGAAGAUGGAUAACCCUCCUUAUUUCUAUGUUUUGUUUUACAUCCCAGGUUGGAGAGCUGGGGAAUUUUAACAUACUUACAUUGCAUGAUUUUUUUGUUGUUAUAUUCAGCAGUUAAAGCAAGAUGGAGGAGUUAGUGAUCGACUUCAGGAAGCGAAGCAGUACACAUAUCCCAAGUUGUAUUGACAGUGCCGAAGUAGAAAAAUUCUAAUUCAUGGGAAUCGAUAUCACCAAUGACUUCUGAAGAAGAAGUGUGAAGAAAGGUCUUGACCUAAAACGUCACCCAUUCCUUCUCCCCAGAGAUGCUGCCUGUCCCGCUGCGUUACUCCAGCAUUUUGUGUCUAUCACCAAUAUCUUCUCCUGGACACCCAUAUUGAAACAAGCAAGAAAGCACACCAAUGCCUCUACUUCCUUAGAAGGCUUAGGAAGUCUGGCAUGUCCCCUACAACUCUCACCUACUUCCACAAAUGUGCCAUGGAAAGCAUUUUAUCAGGAUGUAUCACAGCUUGGUCUGGGAAUAGCUCCAUCCAAGACUGCAAGAAAUUGCAGCAAAUUGUGGAUGCAGCCCAGACCAUCACACAAACCAGCCUCCCUUCUGCUACAUCGACGACUGCUUUGGUGCCACCUCCUGCACCCGCACACAACUGACUGACUUCAUCCACUUCACCACUAAUUUCCACCCGGCACUGAAAUACACCUGGACCAUCUCCGACACUUCCCUACCAUUCCUUGACCUCACUAUCUCCAUUGCAGGUGAUAGACUUCUAACCGACAUACACUAUAAACCCACUGACUCCCAUGGCUAUCUGGACUACACUUCUUCCCACCCUGCUUCCUGUAAGGACUCCAUCCCCUACUCCCAAUUCCUCCGUCUACGCCGCAUCUGCUCCACGGAUGAGGCGUUCCACACCAGGACAUCUGAAAUGUCCUCACUAUUCAGGGAACGGGGGUUCCCCUCCUCCACCAUAAAUGAGGCUCGCACCAGGGUCUCUUCCAUACCCCGCAACACUGCUCUCUCUCCCCAUCCCCGCACUCGCAACAAGGGCCGAGUCCCCCUAGUCCUCACCUUUCACCCCACCAGCCAUCACAUACAAAAAAUAAUCCUCCGUCAGUUUCGCCACCUCCAACGUGACCCCACUACUAGCCACAUCUUCCCAUCUCCCCCCAUAUCUGCCUUCCGCAAAGACCGCUCCCUCCAUAACUCCCUUGUCAAUUCUUCCCUUCCCUCUCGGUCCACCCCCUCCCCGGGCACUUUCCCUUGCGGCCGCAGGAGAUGCAACACUUGUCCCUUUACCUCCCCCCUCAACUCCGUUCAGGGACCCAAGCAAUCGUUCCAGGUGCGACAGAGGUUUACCUGCAUCUCUUCCAACCUCAUCUAUUGCGUCCGCUGCUCUAGAUGUCAGCAGAUCUAUAUCGGUGAGACCAAGCGGAGGUUGGGCGAUCGUUUCGCCGAACACCUCCGCUCGGUCCGCAAUAACCUAGCUGACCUCCCGGUGGCUCAGCACUUCAACUCCCCCUCCCACUCCGCCUCCGACCUCGCUGUCCUGGGUCUCCUCCAUGGCCACAGCGAGCAGCACCGGAAAUUGGAGGAACAGCACCUCAUAUUCCGUUUGGGGAGUCUGCACCCCGGGGGCAUGAACAUCGACUUCUCC